rnacentral:sRNA from 2 species
AAAUUUAAAAUGCCUAAUCCCGGAAAAGCGGGAACGGGGGACCCACCAGAGGGGUGAAUCCCCGCCCUCAGUAAGCUUUAUUACUUUGGGGUACCAAAGCUAUUCAAAGUAUGAAAACUGAGGGCGGGGUAGGGCUUUUCUCCGGCCCGAACCCGGCAGCUAACCCCGUCGGCAGGAAAGGAGAUGGUAC